UACGUAGGGGGCUAGCGUUGUCCGGAUUUAUUGGGCGUAAAGAGCGUGUAGGCGGCCAGGUAGGUCUGCUGUGAAAACUCGAGGCUUAACCUCGAGAUGUCGGCGGAAACCAUCUGGCUAGAGUCCGGAAGAGGAGAGUGGAAUUCCUGGUGUAGCGGUGAAAUGCGCAGAUAUCAGGAAGAACACCCGUGGCGAAGGCGGCUCUCUGGGACGGUAC
rnacentral:rRNA from 1 species